rfam:Triticum aestivum genome assembly, contig: Triticum_aestivum_CS42_TGACv1_scaffold_641475_T_6AL-0.155271_1AS-0.149472
AUUAUACUUCCUUCGUCCGAAAAUACUUAUCAUCAAAAUGAAUAAAGGGAGAUGUAUCUCAAACUAAAAAAUGUCUAGAUACAUCCCCUUUUAUCCGUUUUGAUGACAAGUAUUUCCGGACGGAGGGAGUAUGUG